ensembl:lncRNA
CUGAGGCUCCCACGUCAGCUUUGGAAAGGGCCUCCCUGCUCUUGCCAUGAACCCUGGGGUAGCCUUUCCUUGAAUUCAAGAAUCUCCCAGCUGAAGGAUCUUCAGAAGGGCACUAGCUUCCUCUUCACCUGGGCCACGUCUGGCUGAUACAGUGUCAUCUGGGACCUGUCAGGAAUGAGCAUUCUGCCCGGAAAAUGAAGAAAUAAGGUGCAGAGAAACUGAGAUUCAAAACUAGGAACAGUGACUUCUGGGCUGUGCUCAACUACCUCAAGCCAAGUGGAGGCCUUUUCCUUCAGAAUCAG